AUGGCUAGUCCUUUAUCUACUCCUUUGUCUCCCGAGAAUGAAGUUCUUAAUUUUAAACAAAGGGAGGGAGAAAAUCUAAAAGAUGCUUGGUACAGAAUUUGCAAUGCGCAAAAUAGAUCUACUAGGAAGAAAUCUACUUCCGUUCUUCUUCGCAAUUUUUAUGUAGGUAUAACUCCUUGGAAUAGAUAUAUUCUUGAUACCAUUACCGGAGGAAAUUUCUUGGGUAGCCAUACUUUUGAUUCUUAUAAUGCUAUGAUAGAUUUGUUUGGCCCACCACCUCUUUUGGUUAAUGGAACUAUUUUAACUUCGGAACAUGUGAUGCAAAGGCUUGAAAUUAUUGAAAAUAAAGUUGCCACCGUAGAGUUGAUUGAAAAUUUGGAUAAAAAGAUCCACAACCAAAUUACCCAAUACGGAUCUAAGGUAGGAGUUGCUCUUAAAUAUUUUAAGGAAAAGGAACCUAUGGUUAACGAAAAGAUAGAUCAAGAUUCCACUAGAAUUGAUAAAAUUGAGGAUAUUAUUACCAACCUAGGGUCUGCCUUUUCUUCCGUGAAAAAUACUCCAAAACCUCCUAAUGCUAAAAUUGCCAAACUGAUGUAUGUUCCUAAAAAUAAGGGUGAAACUUCUAGUAAGGAAAAUGCGGAUCUCAAAUCCAUAAGUGUUCACCCCAACCUUCUCGCUAUCAUUAAGGAACCUUUUGCUACAAAUGAUUUUCUCGAUUUUUUGCCUAGGAGUUUGAUAAUUAAUAAAAAUAAGGAAAAUCCUAAGGGUUAUAGGUGUCUUAUCGAAGAAUUGCCCGCCAAAGAUGAUAAUACCUAG
rnacentral:rRNA from 1 species